rnacentral:misc_RNA from 1 species
AGUUCGAACUUCGAAGAUAAUUGAAGCUGUUAAGAUAUGGUCACAGACAAUUUUAUCUGCAGGAAACCAAUUGGUGAGCUGAGAGGGUGCGUAGACAACAAAAGAGGGACCAAUGUUUCCCUAGCAUUACACAAUUAAUCAUUGAGGGAUCAAUUUCUGGAAUGAAAAAUAAUGGUAUACAAUUUCAGCAAAAAAAAUAUUGAAACAAUAUUGUUUAGCUUGGGGACAAUCAAACACAUACAACUGCCAUCACUUUGAAGCAGGCUUCUCUCAAAAUAUAACCACUAAAAAAAAAGAAAAACUAGCAAAAUAUAAGGCUUCUCAGACAAUAUGGUACUGAAAUUUUCCUUGGAUUUUUUCUCAAGCAACACAAUCUAAUAGUAAUUUCAGUCAGCUCCGAACAUUCUUGUCUUGCAAACCAAAUACUUGGAGUUAGAAAACUACUUCCCAUUAUUUUAACUUCCUUCAAUUAUGCUUGGAUCCACUUUUCUGCUAAAACUUUCUGAUCAAACAAACUAAGUCAUAGAGAAAAUCCUGCUUCUCCUCCAUUUUCAUACCCGUAAAAAAUAUGUUACAAAUUAAAAAAAAAAAUCUUUACAUCUCAGAGUAAAAUUGGAAAAAAUUCCUGGACUCUCCGGGAUUCCCUUAAAAUUAAUAAUAGUAAAAAAGGCCCUCAGAAUUUGUAACUAUAACUAAAACAAAUAAUUCAUAAUUGAGAGAUCAAAUGGAA